GACGAACGCUGGCGGCGUGCUUAACACAUGCAAGUGGAGCGACGAACCAGGGCUUGCCCUGGGGCAGAGCCGCGAACGGGUGAGUAACACGUGGGUUACCUGCCCCGAUGAUUGGGACAACCCGAGGAAACUCGGGCUAAUACCAAAUGUGCUCCUGGCCAUAAUGGCCUUGAGGAAAGGAAGCUUCGGCCUCCGCAUCGGGAUGGGCCCGCGGCCCAUUAGCUAGUUGGUGGGGUAACGGCCACCAAGGCGACGAUGGGUAGCUGGUCUGAGAGGACGAUCAGCCACACUGGGACUGAGACACGGCCCAGACUCCUACGGGAGGCAGCAGUGGGGAAUCUUGCGCAAUGCGCGAAAGCGUGACGCAGCAACGCCGCGUGGGG
rnacentral:rRNA from 1 species